GUGAGUGCCAAACUUAUGGGCUGAAUUUCUGCGUAUGGUUUUCAACUAUGAAAAAAAUGUUCAAAAAAUAAAGCACUGGUUUUUAAGAAGGAAACAUCAUGGAUUUUUAUAUCAUCCAUAUAAUUUGCAUGUGCAGUGUGCAUUUUGUCAAAAGUAGCUGCUAGUUACGCUGAGUG